rnacentral:rRNA from 1 species
CCUACGGGAGGCAGCAGUGGGGAAUUUUUCGCAAUGGGGGCAACCCUGACGAAGCAAUGCCGCGUGAAUGAUCGAGGCCUUCGGGUUGUAAAGAGGUUUCGUGGAGGACGAAAAGGUGGGUGCUAAUAUCGCCUGCUGUUGACGUGAAUCCAAGAAGAAGCACCGGCUAACUCCGUGCCAGCAGCCGCGGUAAU